CCCUCCCCUAAAUCACUCCAAAAAAAACAAUCCCCAAUUCUACACAAGUGUUUCUACACUAACAAAGCAACAGCUCCUUAACGAAUUCCCAACUUUACACGAGCUCGUCUCUCGAGGUUAAAUGUUAUUACUUGGUAAGAUUCCGGACCUCGCCAAGUGUUUUGAAAACCCGCAACGCUCGCAAAGGUGGAUAGUGAGAAUAAUAAGUGAAGAGACAGACUUGUCCAAAACGCCCACCACGAAGGUGCAUAGUGAGAAGAGUAAGUCAAGAGAUAGACUUGUCCAAAAAGAAACGGAAGAGAAAGCGUGGGGAGACGCUCACGAAGGUGCAUAGUGAGAAGAGUAAGUCAAGAGACAGACUUGUUCGAAAAGAAACAGAAGAGAAUGCUUGGGGUUACACUCACGAAGGUGCAUAGUGAGAAGAGUAAGUCAAGAGACAGACUUGUUCGAAAAGAAACAAAAGAGAAUGCUUGGGGAGAUAGAAGUGUGAGAUAGUUCUCAAGCUAAGAAAGUUGUAAAAGCUAAGAACUAGCAAGUAAUCGUCCAGGAUUCCUCCACCAGGACUUGAAAUCGUCGAGGGAAAAAAAUCGGUUCCGAGGAAUCGUCGAUCCGGACUUGGAAUCGUCGAGAAAAGUUUACCGGGUCCGAGGAUUUGUCGACCAGGAGUGGAAAUCGUCGAGAAAAAUCUAUCGGGUCCGAGGAAUCGUCGACCAGGACGAGGAAUCGUCGACCGGGUCCGAGGAUUUGUCGACCAGGGGUUGAAAUCGUCGACCAGGUCCGAGACUUCAUCGACCGGGUCCGAGGAUUCGUCGAC
rnacentral:misc_RNA from 1 species